rnacentral:rRNA from 1 species
CAGCAGCCGCGGGAAUACGAAGGUCCCGAGCGUUGUUCGGAAUCACUGGGCGUAAAGGGAGCGUAGGCGGCGUGGUAAGUCAGAUGUGAAAUCCCCGGGCUCAACCUGGGAACUGCAUUAGUGACUGCAUCGCUGGAGUGCGGCAGAGGGGGAUGGAAUUCCGCGUGUAGCGGUGAAAUGCGUAGAUAUGCGGAGGAACACCGAUGGCGAAGGCAAUCCCCUGGGCCUGCACUGACGCUCAUGCACGAAAGCGUGGGGAGCAAACAGGAUUAGAUACCCCUGUAGUCCCUGUCUCUUAUAC